rnacentral:lncRNA from 1 species
AAAGUUUGACUGACAUUUUAGAAGAAUGUUCGACCAAGAAUUUUCAAUUGGAAAGAAGUUGACGUGAGUCUGAAGUUGAACAGUCUUGGUGCUGGGGAGCUUCAGAUCAGCCUAGCAAAAAGACUCUCAGAAGACCGUUUGUCUUGUGAAAGGGAUUUUUAGCUACCUACGUAAAACUUCCUCUGGAAAGAUCUGAUUUGCACUCUGUGAUAGAAAAGGCGUAGGUUUGGGUGUCAGAAAGACCUAAAUUUGAAUCUACAACCAAGCUAUUAGAUUCAUAGUGACCACUUAGUAGCUAGUGAGAAACAGCAUAUGCUCCAGUGGGACAACUUCAUGAAGGAGCAACCCAACAAAAGGGCUGAAGUGGAUGAAGAGCACAGAAAAGCCAUGGAAAGGCUUAAAGAACAAUAUGCUGAGAUGGAGAAGGACCUAGCGAAAUUUUCAACCUUUUAAGAACUUGAACCACAACAAUCACAAACUAAUGAGAAGAUGUUCACCUCUCUCCUGAAAACUAUUCCCACCAGACCGUUUAGCCUCUGCUUCAAGCUUAGCAAUAUAUUCAGUGGCACUCUUAUAUCAGAAGAAAGAAGUUUCUACUGGCAUUCUGAUUGGAUAUUUAAAGAAGGGUGCCACAUUUUUCCAGCUUUAAGUGCCUAUAUAUGAUUAUUUGAAUGAAGAGGAGUAGGAAGGAAAAUGGAAUCAAUAUACUCUUUGUUAGUCAGAAUUGAUCAUCUUUUCCAUUGAUUAGCUCAGAGAACUGUAGGUAUAGACUUCUUAGAAAGAUAAUUUCAUUCAUUUCUAUACAGGGUUAACAAUAGUUUAUUAUUGUGGCUUAAUGGGAAGGUAUAGAAGCUACCUGUCAUAGCCUCCUUGGCUGUUGGAAGGAUGUAUAAAGUGUUACUGCAUGAGUAAUGUAGACAAAAAAAAAAGCCAGCUGUCCUUGGAGCAGAGAUCACAUUUCAGAGAGGUGAGAGUGAACACAUUGUCUCUGCUGUGGCAAAGAUGGCCACGCUGGUG